CACUGCUCCAAGGUUAAGAUGGGCCUGCAUUCAAACUACAUUCCCACCAGUUAAUACUUUGGACAAAGUGUUUAAACAGUUGGAGGCUCAAUUCCUUGAGCAUGCAUAAAACUUCAUGAAGUGGCUCAGAAAAGAGGAUAGUCUAUUUUGCCAUGACUCCAUGCAACCAUUUUGAUAAAAUCUGCACCCUCACAAUGGAUUCAGUGACAUUUUAGGUAAUGAUGAUCUGGUUGUAUUGCCUCUAUUGUGCAUUAAAUGUAGAGUGUGUUUACUACCCAGCCUAGUGUAGAAUGUGAAGAAGCAAAUCUGGCCCACAUUUAAAUCAAAGCCUCAAAUAAAAAUAACCAAAAGUCACAAUAUAGGAAAAUUUGAAUUUUCUGUAUGGCACGUUAGUAGUUUCUACAGAACUAUGUGUUGGAUAUAAGCUUUGAAAAGAACUUCCAAAUGGAAUCACAUCAUCUUGCAGGGGAAGAGACCAAGAAUGUAUUUGAAUACACUGACACCAGGUAUAUGUUAGCUGCUCUGCAGAUGUGGAAGGUACAGAGAUCAAUCAUACAGAAAUCCUGCCCUCAAGGUGCUGAGUCUAGUAGGGGGAGAAACAUAAACAGAUAAAUAAAUCAUAAUUUUUCUUGAUUAUCUAUUCUAUGCCAUGUAAAUUUACAUAUUGUAUGUUUGACACUAAAGCUGAUCCUCUAAACUAACUGAUCCUCUAACACUAAAGUGUUGCCAUAAUGAUUUCCAGUCAUUAUGGCAACACUUUACUUAUUUCAAAUGUAGAGGUAUGUAUAAUUCCCAAAGAGAGAGUCAUUCUGUUCUCAGAAUCUAGAAAACCAAGGCACACAGCAAGGCUAAGCAUCCCCAUAGCGAGCUAGGUCACUCUCAGUCAAAGCUCAGAUAAGGUGUGCCGAAACCAACAGGCUAUUUGUACAUACCUGAUUUGUUUGUGUGCUAGGAAGGAGCAGAGAGCUUGGAAAGUGAGAGCCACAGUUUCGGGCCCUUCUGUGGAAGGUGAAUAUUUUACCCAGUAUAAAAGGCUGUGAAGCCACAGUUGCCUUUGUUUUUGCCAUUUCAGUGGAGUCCAAAGCUAAGAGAGCAGUUCCUCAGAAACAGUUGUUUUAUGGGAAAGGAGAGAUGAAACGUCUGUCAUAGAGCCUUGAGCCACUCACAGCUGGGCAGAGCUAUCACCUCCAGGUUUCCUCUGUGGGGAGAUACCAGAAAAAAUUUCAUUAGAGAUUUCAACAGAUUUUAAGUACAGCCAAAAGAGCCAUGGGACAUGUUUUGGUGGCUGGAAUUGAAAACGUUACAGGUUGGAGUCAAGAGACUCAGAAUGAAAACUGACUACCACUAGCUAGCUGUGUGGUGUUAAUUCUAGAACAGUUCUUGACACAUUGUGUUCACUCAAUAAAUAUUUAUUGAUUGAAUGAAUGCAUUUGCUUCCCCCAGUAUACUGUAAGACCCUUGAGGGCAAGGGCCAUAUUUCAUUGUUCUUUGUAAAUCCAGCAUCCAGCUCAUUGUCUAAAUCCUGCUAAGCGCCACUAAAUUUUGAAUUAAUUAUUCUUUGGUGAGCAACAUUGAUAAGAAAAUCAUUCACCCAGUGUGAACGUGCUACAGAAGAUAUUAUCGAUGCAUUUUGCUUUUAUGUACCAGGCACCAAGCAAACUCUUUAAUCAACUGUGAGUUUUUGAGGGAAAAGAAAUCUGAUUCAUUACCUUUGGCAUGCCACACAGUAGCUAGUAUUUAAAGUACAUGUAAUGAUUUACUGUAGCAUUUCCUUGAUCUCAAUCAUUCAAGUGUAACUCUUACAGUUUUUGCUUUAUCUGUGCA
ensembl:lncRNA